rnacentral:rRNA from 1 species
GAUGAACGCUGGCGGCGUGCCUAAUACAUGCAAGUCGAGCGAACAGACGAGGAGCUUGCUCCUUUGACGUUAGCGGCGGACGGGUGAGUAACACGUAGGUAACCCACCUAUAAGGCUGGGAUAACUUCGGGAAACCGGAGCUAAUACCGGAUAAUAUUUCGAACCGCAUGGUUCGAUAGUGAAAGAUGGCUUUGCUAUCACUUAUAGAUGGACCUGCGCCGUAUUAGCUAGUUGGUAAGGUAACGGCUUACCAAGGCAACGAUACGUAGCCGACCUGAGAGGGUGAUCGGCCACACUGGAACUGAGACACGGUCCAGACUCCUACGGGAGGCAGCAGUAGGGAAUCUUCCGCAAUGGGCGAAAGCCUGACGGAGCAACGCCGCGUGAGUGAUGAAGGUCUUCGGAUCGUAAAACUCUGUUAUUAGGGAAGAACAAACGUGUAAGUAACUGUGCACGUCUUGACGGUACCUAAUCAGAAAGCCACGGCUAACUACGUG